rnacentral:rRNA from 1 species
UACGAAGGGGGCUAGCGUUGCUCGGAAUUACUGGGCGUAAAGCGCACGUAGGCGGGUCGCUAAGUCGGGGGUGAAAUCCUGGAGCUCAACUCCAGAACUGCCUUCGAAACUGACGAUCUUGAGUUCGGGAGAGGUGAGUGGAACUGCGAGUGUAGAGGUGAAAUUCGUAGAUAUUCGCAAGAACACCAGUGGCGAAGGCGGCUCACUGGCCCGAUACUGACGCUGAGGUGCGAAAACGUGGGGAGCAAACAGG